rnacentral:lncRNA from 1 species
CUCACAUGGAGGCAUGAAAUGAGCUCUACUUUGGUGGAGAGCUAUGAUAUGAUGAUAUGAGGGAUCAUGCAAAAUUGCAACUUAUUUGGAUAUGCCUAGCUUGCACCUCCUUCACAAAGCUUCUUUCUGGAUAGAAACUUUGGAAAAUCAUAAUUAAAUAAUUACUAGGCAAAUGAGGUUGCAUUUUGGCAUGUGGCAAUGAUAUGGACAGGAAAAGGUGUCCAAGGAGUUUGAGGUCAAUUGGGAAAAGGAAAAUAGCACUUGCUUCACAAUGUGCCAUUUAGGGCAGAAUAGGGAAUGAAUUAUUUGAGCAUGAUGAUAAACAUGACAAAUGAAAUAUUUUGUCAUAUUUGAGAAAGAUAUGACCCAAACAAUUUAUGAGAAUUAUUUGGGAAUUUUAGGAGUGAUGGAAAUACAGGUUGCUUCACAACCUAGGGAAAUUUGAGUUAUUCCUUUAAUAGAAAAGGAAUAUUCCCAAUGAAAAGAAUAUUGGGAUUUGGGAUAGAAUGAAAAUGACAGGGUCUAGGGAAGGGUUUGGGAAUGACAAGCCACUCUAGAAACAAUGAAGAGGGCAUCUUCUUCAGUUUCCAGACCACAAAGCCACCGAAAAAGAAAACUCGAGCAAAAACCUUAGUAAAACAAAAGAAAAAGAAAGGGCCAAAAAUUAGGCUGUCACAAACCUUACCCCCUUAAAGAAAUCUCGUCCUCGAGAUUUGGUUGCUCAGGGAACAAGUAUGAAGAUACUGACUUAAGGAAACCGUUUCCAACUCGGGUAUCCUUUUGCUUAUUUUUGUUCCCACUAAAUUUUUAUCUGACUGGCCCUGGGGUGGUUUGCUUUAAUAUAUAUAUAUAUUCUGGCAGAUCUUACCUUGCUUGUUCAUGCUUAUACAGGCUCCAAUUUAUUUUUAGAUCUGCUGACUUAGCUGACUGUGAUUGAUUCUCACGACCGAAAUAUAUGUCGGUCUCACAAAUCCAAGAGUGAUUUCCGCUGGGUGUGUCAUCCGGCACUGCAAUCUUUCAUGAAGUGGUGAUAAGAUUUUUCUAGUGGACACCCAAGCUCUAACUCCUUGCAUUGGGUUUCUCCACUAAAUGCAGGUCCUUCGGAUUCCAAACAGUGAGUUGGGUCAUAACCGCUUUCCUGACAGAUUCUGUCUUAUCGUGGAAGUUUCUGAAUCAUCUUAACUGGUUCUACUGUCUUGAGUAUCGGAUCCGUACCAAAUAUUUGAUUGUCACCUGGCGUGGCUAGCAUAAGAGUUUGACCUGUAUGAUAAUGUCUGCAGACUUGACUGACGGUGGUUCUGCACCACGCGGGUCUUACAACAAUUUUCAUACCUGCAUCACUGGCCUUGCUCCUUCAUAAUUGUUUUCUUAGUCUGGAUCCCUGGCUGAAAGAGCUGGGUCAUAUUGCUUCUUCGUAUCACCAUAGGUACUGUCAGUACAAUUUUUUGGCAAUCAUAGCUUAUCCUCAUUUUUCUGAAAGGGUACCCCAUUAAAUGGCAGGUUCAACACCCCUCAUGUUCUGACCGCAAGAAAAUGAUCAUCCAAACCUUUGCAAGAAAUCGGCAAAUAAAUCAGUAGCCACCAGAACGGUCUUUACAACUCAGAUCUGGGACAUUACUGAAAUACCUCAACCACGGCUCAAGACGGCCGAAAAGCAGCUCAGAACAUGAGACCGGGUCGAUAAGAAGAAGGUGGCAGCUCCCUAAAAUAGCCAAAAAGCAGCUAUAGGGCUACUGUCACAAAAAGAAACUCAACAGUUGUACGAGACGGCCGAAAAGCAGCUCAGAACUUGUGAUAGUCAUUGAAGAGAGAAAUAAAAAUCGGCAUCCAUCCCGGAUAGCUAAAAACAGCUUAGAUCACAGGCGUGGUGCCGUCAUUGGAGAAAAGGGGGACAAGGUCUCAUCAGGAUCAUUUUCCAGGUUCACAUGUACUUGUAUUGAGCUCAUUGAUGUCGUCAAUCCUCAUAAUCCUUUGUCACACUACGGUGUCUACUGGCUUUCUUCUCUUAACCAUCCUCACGUGGUUGUCAGAUCCUCAUCCAAGUGACUUGUAAGAUCUUGGUGGUAUGGUCACCGCAUAUAUAUGAGAAUCUGAUUCCCGAGAAAGACGUGUAUUCUGACUGUUCUUGCUUCUGACCAAAAUGUUGCGGAUCUGAUUCUUGGGAUUCACUGCUAUAUGCUGUCAAUUCACAGCGUACUACCUUGUACCAAUGUCUUACUGAGGAAGAUUGGCUGGCUUGUGCUCGAAACUUUCAUCGGACAGCUUGCUGAAAAAGACUGGGUAUCGUGCUUCAGAAGCUUACCCCCUUAAAGACUUUGCUUGGAAAAGACUCGGUACCUUAUGCCGAAAGCUUUUGCGGUUGCUUACUGAAGAAGGCAGAGUACCUUGUACGGGAAAUCAUCCAUGUAUCGUACUAAGGAAGAUAGAUGAAUCUUGCCUUGGAAGCUUCUCGGGUACCUUUGAUAAUAUUCUGUCAACCUUGCACACAAUUUAUCUUCUUGCUGAUUUGAUCAUUUCUGCUACGAGGAGUGCACGCUGAGGGAGACUUGACACUCAGUAACAUGAUCAGAUAUCCCCCAAUCUGAAUACAUUCGGCUGAGACUUCCAUACUGUUGUGAGGAAUGCACGUUAAUGCAAACUUUAUACUGACAUUCCACCCAGGAUUUCUUUUGUAUUCAGACGAGCUAUUUCCAAUUUCACUGCAGUCUGCUGACAAUUCCAUUCUGUUUAGCUGAGUUUCCAAAUAUAUGCAUUUCUGAUUGAAUCUUCGGGUCCGGUGUCGGCUGACGAGCAACUUUAAUAGGGGGAAAAUUUGUAAUACCGAAGGCCCAAAGAAAGAAACAAAAGAAACGACUAAAACAAAAGCACACAAGCAUACUACUAAUAUAAUUAAUCAAGCAAUCAUCACAUAUUACUGCUACUCACACCAUAAUAUGCAUGCACACCUAAGCACACAAAUCGCGCGGAAACUCCGGUAUUACAGAUGAGGACGGACUUGACGAUCAAGUAGCGAGACACAAAAGUCACGACCACAUCAUCAUCAAGCAUACGAAAGGGAUUCAUACACGUCCAAAGAAUAGAAUGACUGGGUAGGGUAGCGGUGGAAAAACAAGGCUCGCUGGCAUUGCCCUUUUCUGAUUACCAAGAUCAGUAAGGGUUGCCAGAGGGAUGAGAUGGAUGGCAUGAUUCGGGAUAGAAACAAGUCUAUCACCGAAAUAAUAUGGGUAGGUGGCGGAAAAAUAUACGCGAUACCUGAGCAUAACUCCUGCAAAUGGUGUCUGGAACUCUGGGUACCAGGGCAUCACUCAGCUGGGACAGAAAUGACGUCGAACACCAAAGAGCAGACAUGCUAAGAGGGAGGGUGUGGGCCUUGGACCGAAAAUGAUGCCACCUACACUCACAAGAUUAACCGUUAGUGCCAAAAUAAUAAUCUAUAUGCAUGCUAUACGACAAACAAAUGCAACAAUCAAGUACAACAAACCAACUGGGGUCAAUACUACCGCUUUCUAACGUUCGCGCGGGCUAGGGCAUCCUACAGCCAGGCCUGCUCUGAUACCAAGCCUGUGGCACCCCGGCUCAGAGAAAACCAGAACGCCCCGUAUUCCAGCCCAGAGAUCGAGAUGAAGUCUUCUGGAAUACGGCACUGCUUAGUAUAGAACAAACCAGCUCUCUAUUACAACACGAAUGUGAAUAGAAGGGUUCCGAUAUUACAAUGAAUAACAUUGGCACGGCGACACUACACCAACCACAGUUGCUCUAUACAAGCAGCAUAACAACUCGAAGCAGCGGAACAACUACUGGCAGCGGAACAACGAACAACGAUGAUGGACUCCAAUCCGCAGGGACUCUGGCUGGAACGUUUAUCCUAGCUCGCGAACACGGAAACAACACCAAACAUGCCAGGUCAGUACAUUGAAUGUACUUCCAAGCUCACAAUAACCAGAAGCAUUCAAGACAAACAAUUCAUUGGAAAUUACAGGUUAAGCAGGAAUUAUCAUGAGAUCAUCCGGAUAACAUAACAUGAACAACAUGAACAUAAUACUGCUAGAACAAUAUGAUCAUGGCAAGAACGUAUAAAUCUGAUGAUACUAGCAUGCAACAUGAUGACACUAUAUGCACCAUUUAUUCUGCUCGGGUUACCUCGUAACCAUCACAUGCAUCACUUACCAACCUCGGACAUUACACGAUCAUCUCAGGAUCAAAUCAAGCUUGGUAUAAACAAUACCGUAGUAAUCAUCAAAUGACCACAAGGAGCUUGAUCUUUACCCACGAUUCUCGCACAACAUCACGGAUAUCCAACAACUCGGUAUCCUCGAUACCACGGUGAUCUUUCCGGCGAUCACAACCAUGACCAACACUUGGUCUCCAAUGGUGAUCUUUCCGGCGAUCACAACCAACUUAUCUCCUCAACGAACCGGGGUUAUUAUUAAGCACAUUAUUAUUAAUACUGUUGACUCACAGUGUGACCGAUUACGAACUGGGCCCUUAUCCGCGGGCGCGGCUAUCGAUAGAUUUAAUAUACACUCUGCAGAGGUUAGUACACUGUACCCACACCACGGAACCCAUGGCCUCGCACUCCCAUUCAGGUGGACCAACGGCGUUCCGACAAAACCGAUCUACUGCCAUGACACUCUCCCGGCCACUCCGACUCACUCCCCAUUGGGCUAGUCCUGGGUGGCCCCGUGUCUACCAAAGACACAACGACCACCGUCGUGGUCCGUCCCAAACAGGAACAAAAGCGCUUAUCAUCCAACUACGGGCACACAAGGUUAUGUCUGCUUACCGGGCCAGGGUACGCAUGCCCAUAACCUUCCCUAGUUGGAGGCACCGGUGAGAGGCACGACAAUAGACCCAGUUAGGACCCCCCAUAAGGCAAGUGUGGUUGCACUGGUUAGCUGGAUUUUGUGGCACCAUGACUCAGCCAACAGUUGUUCAAGUUCAAAUUAAUCUAGUUAAACUUGAAUGUAAUAUGCUGAGCCAUGAUAAAUAACAUGAUGCAAUGACAAUGCAUGAACAUGAUAUCAACGUAAUCAUGAGGGUACAACAUAACUAUCCACCAUAUCAACAAUGAAUCAUCUCCAUCUGAGCAUAGUAUAAUGACGAGCAUGCACAAGUACAACACUACUCAUAGAAACCUAGCAUGACCACUAGCAUGAACAAUAAAUAUCAUGCAAGAACAUAUCAACCAUGCCAUCAUGCAAGCAUUUAACCAACUGGAUGUAACGGAACAUGCAUAACAACAGUACUCGGGACAGACGGCAGUCAUGCACCGAAAACCAUCACCAACAUCAACAUGUACUACUAGCAAGCAUAAGCAUAUGAAGGGAAUAAUAGCAACUAUCAGGGCAUGAAAACCAGGGGCAUAACAACAUAGCAAGUAAGUAAGUACUAACCUAGAAGCAUUACCGAAACAACGAUAACCAUAUUUUAAACAAGCAAUCAUUUAAUAAAUAUUCAAGUUGAAAACCAUGGCUACUGCAUGACUAUCAUGCAAGUGGGUAUUGUGGCUUGCCUAGGGUGGAAGAAAUCACCGGGACAAAGUGCAAGAAGCUUGCGGAAAGAAUCGCGGGAAGCAGAUCUCUCUCGGAGGGGGCUGAUUAGGGGCAAGGGCAAAAAGGUCAUUUUCAGAAUUUUAAAACAUAGUGAAAAUGAUACCAACAAAACGGACUCGACGAGACGAAGAAUUGGGCUUUGGAAUCACCUCAUUUGGAGUUGUGGUUGAAAAGUUAUGAGGUGUAGAAGACCAGGGACCAAUCUAUGAAAGUUUUCAUCACCAAUGGGUCCCUGAGUGGAUAAAACAGAAACACAUAUUAGAUAAUACGUUUUCUGAGCAGAGAAAGCGCAUUCCUGGCCGCGGUAUAAGGAAAUACAUUUUCCAGAGGAGAAAACGCAUUUUGGCAAAAGAGGGAAAAGAAUACGCUUUCGAGCAAAUGGAAGCGUCCUGGAAGAAAUGCGCCUUCAGAGAAUGGAAAGCGCACUCACCAGAAGGCGCUUCCACUUAUCCACGUGGACCUGGGCCUUGGGCCACUUACAGGCGGGUCCCACGCGGUCAGGGGAGGGGCCAGGCAUUGCUCGUCUUCUACCUCGCUCGGGCCCCGACCGAGACAGAGGCGAGGAGGCGAAGCAGAGGCGGGCUCCAGCGAAGGGGCCGGCCAGCUCUGGUGGCCUCUGGCGAAACCGAGUGCACCGGCGGGCUCACAAGGAUGCAGCGCCUCCGUUCAGAGGAGAAACGGUUCCCGGGGAGGCGCGUGGAGGAGGCGAGGCCGCAGCGACGGAGGCGGGGGGAGAGGCGGCGGUGGUGUUGGUGUUCGGCGAUGUGGGCAGCUCCAGCGAGGGCUGAGGGGUGCGGACGAACCGCCGAAGUGAGGAGGAGGCGUAGGUGCUGAUGGAAGGGAGAGAGGAGGCUCGGAUGGACUGGGUCGGGGUGGUGCCCGAGAGCAACGGUGACGGCCAAGCGCCGGGAGGCGCGGCCAGAGGGACUCCGGCGAUGAACUGGUGGGGUGGGGAGGCUCUCUGGGAGGAGGGGAACACGGUGGACAGCUCGGGAGGAGAGGAGAGGGGCUAGGCACAUCGGAACCAAGGAGGAACCGAGGCGGCCGAGGCGAACUCCGGCGAAAAGAGGAGGGGGCGGAGGACUCCGGUGGGCUAGGGAGGCAAGUGAGGAGUGGAUGAGCUGCGGGAGGGCUCGGGGAACGCUUAUAUAGCCGGGGGAAGGCUUUGGAGCUCACAAGCGAGCUUGAGCAGUGCUCUAAUGGAGGUCAGAGGCUGGGCAUGGCACGGGCACUGUUCUAGCGGCGCAUUAAUGGUGAACCACGACGAGGCACCGAUGCAGGGCGAUGCAGUCGGCACAGGCAAGCUCCAGGACAUGGAUGGAGGUCGAGACGAGGAGGGAGGAGACGACAACAGUGGCCGGAACCAGCCAGAGCACGCGUUUAGCCAUGAUGCAAGCGUGAUCACCACGCGCACUGGCGCAAGCUGCGCUCUUUGGCGUGGCCAACCAUGUCCAGUGGAUGGACCUUGGUGCCCUUUUUCCAACCGAAGAAAUAAAUCGGUCCAGGGGCAAAGAAGAGAUUUGCACUAAGCUCCAAAGUAAAUCAGUACGAAGGUGUUUGUAACUCUCUAUGGUUAAACCAGCUUGAUAACGUGGUAAAGAGUUUGCCUGGUGAUGAUCACACACUAAGGUGAUGCUGAUCACCAAAAACCAGACUAAGAGGAGGAGUUUAGAUGAGGGUUGCUGUCGAAAGUGCAAAACUGGCCAGAAUUAGGGAUUUGGAUGAUACACUCACAUACUUGAUUGUCAUGAGCUGAAAUCUGGCAGAGAGGGGUUAUAUGACGGUAUGAAGCUGCUGUAAAGAUUUCAUGCCAUUUGGAAAUACCAAAGUGGCACUUGCUUCACAAAGCUUCAUUUUGGACAGAAACUUGGAAAAUUUCUAGAGGAAUAAUGGCUUGAUGAAUGAUGCCAAAAAUGGGUGGAGGUAGGUUAUAUGGAUAAUAGAAGGCCUAGAAACAUUUGUAGCCAUAAUGGAGCAAGAUAAAAUAUACUUGCUUCACAAACUAAAAUUUUGGACAGAAUCAAAGAAUUGAAGAUGAGCUCACAUGGAGGCAUGAAAUGAGCUCUACUUUGGUGGAGAGCUAUGAUAUGAUUAUAUGAGGGAUCAUGCAAAAUCGCAACUUAUUUGGAUAUGCCUAGCUUGCACCUCCUUCACAAAGCUUCUUUCUGGAUAGAAACUUUGGAAAAUCAUAAUUAAAUAAUUACUAGGCAAAUGAGGUUGCAUUUUGGCAUGUGGCAAUGAUAUGGACAGUAAAAGGUGUCCAAGGAGUUUGAGGUUAAUUGGGAAAAGGAAAAUAGCACUUGCUUCACAAUGUGCCAUUUAGGGCAAAAUAAGGAAUGGAUUAUUUGAGCAUGAUGAUAAACAUGACAAAUGAAAUAUUUUGUCAUAUUUGAGAAAGAUAUGACCCAAACAAUUUAUUAGAAUUAUUUGGGAAAUUUAGGAGUGAUGGAAAUAAAGGUUGCUUCACAACCUAGGGAAAUUUGAGUUAUUCCUUUAAUAGAAAAGGAAUAUUCCUAAUGAAAAGAAUAUUGGGAUUUGGGAUAGAAUGAAAAUGACAGGGUCUAGGGAAGGGUUUAGGAAUGACAAGCCACUCUGGAAACAAAGAAGAGGGCAUCUUCUUCAGUUUCCAGACCACAAAGCCACGGAAAAAGAAAACUCUAGCAAAAACCUCAGAAAAACAAAAGAAAAAGAAA